AGAGUUUGAUCAUGGCUCAGAAUGAACGCUGGCGGCGUGCUUAACACAUGCAAGUCGAACGAUGAAGCCUAGCUUGCUAGGUGGAUUAGUGGCGCACGGGUGAGUAAUAUAUAGAUAAUGUGCCUCUUAGUCUGGGAUAGCCAUUGGAAACGAUGAUUAAUACUAGAUACUCCUUCUGAUUAUAAUUUCAGUCGGGAAAGUUUUUCGCUAAGAGAUCAGUCUAUAUCCCAUCAGUUAGUUGGUAGGGUAAUGGCCUACCAAGGCAAUGACGGGUAGCGGGUUUGAGAGGAUGAUCCGCCACACUGGUACUGAGACACGGACCAGACUCCUACGGGAGGCAGCAGUGAGGAAUAUUGCACAAUGGAGGAAACUCUGAUGCAGCAACGCCGCGUGGAGGAUGACGCAUUUCGGUGUGUAAACUCCUUUUAUAUGUCAAGAAAAUGACGGUAGCAUAUGAAUAAGCACCGGCUAACUCCGUGCCAGCAGCCGCGGUAAUACGGAGGGUGCAAGCGUUAUUCGGAAUCACUGGGCGUAAAGGACGCGUAGGCGGGAAGCCAAGUCUGAUGUGAAAUCCUAUGGCUUAACCAUAGAACUGCAUUGGAAACUGGUUGCCUAGAGUAUGGGAGGGGGAGAUGGAAUUAGUGGUGUAGGGGUAAAAUCCGUAGAUAUCACUAGGAAUACCGAAAGCGAAGGCGAUCUCCUGGAACAAUACUGACGCUAAGGCGUGAAAGCGUGGGGAGCAAACGGGAUUAGAUACCCCGGUAGUCCACGCCCUAAACGAUGUUCACUAGUCGUCGGAAUGCUAGUCAUUUCGGUGAUGCACUUAACAGAUUAAG
rnacentral:rRNA from 1 species